UACGGGGGGCGCAAGCGUUGCUCGGAAUCACUGGGCGUAAAGGGCGCGUAGGCGGUUUGUACAGUCAGAUGUGAAAUUCCCGGGCUCAACCUGGGGGCUGCAUUUGAUACGUAUAGACUUGAGUUCGGAAGAGGGUCGUGGAAUUCCCAGUGUAGAGGUGAAAUUCGUAGAUAUCGGGAAGAACACCGGUGGCGAAGGCGGCGACCUGGUCCGAUACUGACGCUGAGGCGCGAAAGCGUGGGGAGCAAACAGG
rnacentral:rRNA from 1 species